rnacentral:rRNA from 1 species
AUGGAAGGCGGCGGAGGAGCGGUAGGUGGAGGAGCAGAAUCCGGCGAUGUCCAGCCAGGCAAGGCCAUCGCGGCGGCCGGCGGCGUAACACGCGACUGCGGAGGAUCUGGUUCUGGAGGCCCCCACCGUGCUCGGGCAGUCAGGUUCCGACCGCGCUCGCCCUCGUACAUCCUUCGGCGGCGGCGGUAUGGUUGCGGAGCCAAACUCGUCGACUUGGACAAGGAUGUAGCAGCUGAUGGCGAAGCUGGUGUCGGGCAUGCAGGUACUCUUCUCCAUCGGCCUCAUGUUCAUCUUCUACCUCAAGAUACUAUGAUUAUUAGAGACAGUAUGCAGAAGGAUUGA